rnacentral:rRNA from 1 species
UACAGAGGGUGCAAGCGUUGCUCGGAAUCAUUGGGCGUAAAGGGCAGGUAGGUGGUCUUGUUUGUCUGUUGGUGAAAGCCCGGGGCUCAACCCCGGAAGUGCAUUGGAUACUGGGAGGCUGGAGUACCGGAGAGGAGGGUGGAAUUCCUGGUGUAGCGGUGAAAUGCGUAGAUAUCAGGAGGAACACCGGUGGCGAAGGCGGCCCUCUGGACGGAUACUGACGCUGAGACGCGAAAGCGUGGGGAGCAAACAGG